rnacentral:tRNA from 1 species
GCUUGGGUGGCUUGGUCGGUUAAGCGUCUGACUUCGGCUCAGGUCAUGAUCUCGCGGUCCGUGAGUUCGAGCCCCACGUCGGGCU